rnacentral:rRNA from 1 species
AUUGAACGCUGGCUGCAGGCUUAACACAUGCAAGUCGAGCGGAGAUGAGGUGCUUGCACCUUAUCUUAGCGGCGGACGGGUGAGUAAUGCUUAGGAAUCUGCCUAUUAGUGGGGGACAACAUUCCGAAAGGAAUGCUAAUACCGCAUACGUCCUACGGGAGAAAGCAGGGGAUCUUCGGACCUUGCGCUAAUAGAUGAGCCUAAGUCGGAUUAGCUAGUUGGUGGGGUAAAGGCCUACCAAGGCGACGAUCUGUAGCGGGUCUGAGAGGAUGAUCCGCCACACUGGGACUGAGACACGGCCCAGACUCCUACGGGAGGCAGCAGUGGGGAAUAUUGGACAAUGGGGGGAACCCUGAUCCAGCCAUGCCGCGUGUGUGAAGAAGGCCUUAUGGUUGUAAAGCACUUUAAGCGAGGAGGAGGCUACUGAGACUAAUACUCUUGGAUAGUGGACGUUACUCGCAGAAUAAGCACCGGCUAACUCUGUGCCAGCAGCCGCGGUAAAAC